rnacentral:rRNA from 1 species
GACGAACGCUGGCGGCGUGCCUAAUACAUGCAAGUCGAGCGAGACUCUUCGGAGUCUAGCGGCGAACGGUCGCGUAACACGUAAGCAACCUGCCCCAAAGUUUGGGAUAACCCACCGAAAGGUGGACUAAUACCGGAUGUGGCCCGUCUGGCUCAUGCCAGAUUGGUUAAAGGAGCAAUCCGCUUUGGGAUGGGCUUGCGGCCUAUCAGCUAGUUGGUGAGGUAACGGCCCACCAAGGCGACGACGGGUAGCUGGCCUGAGAGGUUGGCCAGCCGGAUUGGGACUGAGAUACGGCCCAGACUCCUACGGGAGGCAGCAAUUAGGAAUCUUGCGCAAUGGGCGAAAGCCUGACGCAGCGACGCCGCGUGAGCGAUGAAGCCUUUCGGGAUGUAAAGCUCUGUCCUGCGGGGAAGAAGGAUGUGACGGUACCCGCAGAGAAAGCCCCGGCUAACUACGUGCCAGCCGCCGCAGUAACAC